AUUGAACGCUGGCUGCAGGCCUAACACAUGCAAGUCGAGCGGAGCGGCGGACGGGUGCGUAAUGCCUAGGAAUCUGCCUAGUAGUGGGGGCUCACGUCCGUAAACGGGCGCUAAUACCGCAUACUAUCAGAUGAGCCGCGGUCGGAUUAGCUAGUUGGUGGGGUAACGGCCUACCAAGGCCACGCACCGUAACUGGUCUGAGAGGAUGAUCAGUCACACUGUGAAUGAGACACGGUCCAGACGACUACGGGAGGCAGCAGUGGGGAAUAGUGGAUAAUGGGGGAAAGCCUGAUCCAGCCAUGCCGCGUGUGGGAAGAAGGUCUUCGGAUUGUAAAGCACUUUAAGUUGGGAGGCGUUACCAACAGAAUAAGCACCGGCUAACUUCGUGCCAGCAGCCGCGGUAAUAC
rnacentral:rRNA from 1 species